rnacentral:ncRNA from 2 species
GAUUUAUAAAGAAGAGUGGAGAGAAUAGGCUCUGAGAAGCUCUGACAACCUGCCUGCUUCGGGCAAGGUGCCAAUACCUAAUUCCAAUUAUUUGGGAAAUUAUAAAUU